GACGAACGCUGGCGGCGUGCUUAACACAUGCAAGUCGAGCGGAAAGGCCCCUUCGGGGGUACGCGAGCGGCGAACGGGUGAGUAUCACGUGAGUAAUCUGCCCUUGGCUUCGGGAUAGCUGCGGGAAACCGAAAUUAAUACCGGAUACGACGCGGUCUCGCAUGAUAUCCGUUCGGAAAGGUUUUUCGGCCAGGGAUGUGCUCGCGGCCUAUCAGCUUGUUGGUGGGGUAAUGGCCUGCCACGGCGUCGACGGGGAGUCGGCCUGAGAGGGGGACCGGCCACACUGGGACUGAGAAAAGGACCAGACUCCUGCGGGAGGCAGCAGUGGGGAAUACUGGACAAUGGGCGGAAGCCUGAUCCAGCGACGCCGCGGGAGAGAUGACGGCCUUCGGGUUGUAAACCUCUUUCAACACCGACGAAGCGCAAGUGACGGUAGGUGGGGAAGAAGGACCGGCCAACUACGUGCCAGCAGCCGCAGUAA
rnacentral:rRNA from 1 species